rnacentral:rRNA from 1 species
AGAAUCAACGCUGGCGGCGUGCCUAACACAUGCAAGUCGAACGAGAAAGUGGAGCAAUCCAUGAGUAAAGUGGCGCACGGGUGAGUAACACGUGACUAACCUACCCUUGAGUGGGGGAUAACCUAGAGAAAUCUGGGCUAAUACCGCAUAAUACCUUCGGGUCAAAGGAGCAAUUCGCUUAAGGAGGGGGUCGCGGCCGAUUAGUUAGUUGGCGGGGUAAUGGCCCACCAAGACUAUGAUCGGUAUCCGGCCUGAGAGGGCGCACGGACACACUGGAACUGAAACACGGUCCAGACUCCUACGGGAGGCAGCAGUGGGGAAUUUUGCGCAAUGGGGGAAACCCUGACGCAGCAAACGCCGCGUGGAGGAUGAAGUCCCUUGGGACGUAAAACUCCUUUCGAUCGGGACGAUAAUGACGGUACCGAGAGAAGAAGCCCCGGCUAACUUCGCGCCAGCAGCCGC